UUGUUCUCAGGUUUUAUGGAAAGCUUACAUAGAUUUUGAGAUAAACUUGGAAGAGUACGACAAAACACGAGAUCUGUAUGAGAGGCUACUAAAACGAACGCAACACGUCAAGGUUUGGAUUAGUUUUGCACAGUUCGAGGCCUCUACAGCAACCGAUGAAAGCAUCAUACAAGCAAGAACUGUUUACGAACGCGCCGAGUAAAGAAGA